rnacentral:rRNA from 1 species
CCUACGGGAGGCUGCAGUGGGGAAUAUUGGACAAUGGGGGGAACCCUGAUCCAGCCAUGCCGCGUGUGUGAAGAAGGCCCUCGGGUUGUAAAGCACUUUCAGUGAGGAAGAACGCCUGGUGGUUAAUACCCAUCAGGAAAGACAUCACUCACAGAAGAAGCACCGGCUAACUCCGUGCCAGCAGCCGCGGUAAUACGGAGGGUGCGAGCGUUAAUCGGAAUUACUGGGCGUAAAGCGCGCGUAGGUGGCUUGAUAAGCCGGUUGUGAAAGCCCCGGGCUCAACCUGGGAACGGCAUCCGGAACUGUCAAGCUAGAGUGCAGGAGAGGAAGGUAGAAUUCCCGGUGUAGCGGUGAAAUGCGUAGAGAUCGGGAGGAAUACCAGUGGCGAAGGCGGCCUUCUGGACUGACACUGACACUGAGAUGCGAAAGCGUGGGUAGCAAACAGGAUUAGAUACCCGAGUAGUC